GUUGUCAUCGUAGAAAAGACUGCUGUUUAUGUGUGUAUGUUAUCAGAAAAUUGAUGUGAUUCUUAUUGCUCUAAAGAAAUUUUUGAAAACAAACAGAACGUAUAAAAGUAACCGUUAAUUCGCAAUUGAUACGUCAUUGGAAUGCUACUGCAAUACACAUUCUGAGGUCACGCAGGUUCAUACAAUACUCAGUCCGGCAGUGGGCGGAGCUUUAAAACGAUAUCUGUAUAGUAUACAGAUACAGCAUAGCGAUAUCUGUGGGGCUGUGUCUGUAUAGUAGAACA
rnacentral:lncRNA from 1 species